AACUGGUGUAGACCUUCCACUAACGUGAAUAUAUCGUAUGAUAAUCGAGUAAAUUCUAAAUUUAGUUGUACAGCAGCGUAACCGAGACAACGAGCAAAAGUUAUUUAACAAAUCUAUUGAUUAAAUGUCAAAGUUAUUUAUCAGUAACAACUAUGAUCAUUUUCAAAUUUCGUAUUUACUUUCGUUACCAUAGGAAAGAACAUUGCCAUGGUGUAAAUCGCUCGUUUUCUAAUAUUAUUGUCAUGUAAAUCCGAGCAGAUAAAUGGGUUCCUUUGCGACCGAAAAGUGAGAAUCAUUAGAAUCGUUAAAUCGUUAGAACCUUCGCUUUGAGCUUAGAGUUUAAAUAAAUCUCAUUAAAUCAUAAGUCUUUAUUAAAAUAGUCAAUCUAUUAUAAAUAUUCACUUUUAAAUAUAAAUCAUUGUUCACGUUAAUCUUUCUUGUUAUGUAUUUCUUUGUUUAAACAUCGAGUUAGUUUUUCGAAUUGUUUGAAGUUGUUACGUAGUGCUUCAGCACUCCACAGGCUGCAACCGUGCCAAAUUCCCCAAAAUCUUAGCAAGGCCACGCAACAUGUCAUAGUACUAUUUAUUGACAAGAAUUUUGAUUUUGUCAGAUUUUGUCAUCAUAUUUUAAGAUUUAGGUAAUCCAACUCUAUUGCCUGUUGCAAUAUAAUGAAAAAUAGUUUGAUUAAAAAAGUUGGAAUAAAAAUCGACGCAACUUCUCCUGUGCGUCUUCAAGUAGAGAGAGAACGUCAAAUAGUUGCUUUGAAAAAACUAAAUGAAUAUUUUUCUGAUCUGCAUAUUUUUCCGGUUAUCAGCGUGAACGGUGCGUAUCUUUCUAGUACCGUUAGCUGCUGAAAAUAGAUUUCAAAGUAUGUAUUUAUACCGUUUCUCCCCUGGUGCUUUUAAACCAAUCGCAUGCCGAAUCGGAAUAAUUCCCUUUCGACGGCUCUUAAGAGGUGAGAAAAGGACACAAAGGUUUACGGUAAUUGAUUGAAGGAAAGAUUCAUUUACAUAAUACAUCGAAAUCUAGUAAUAAAUUAUAAAUAUAUACUUGCAUGUUACAACUAUAAAUACAAAAGAUGACAUGUGAUAUGAAAGAAUUGUUCGUUGCACGCGUAACAUUUCGGCAUUUCUCUAUUUAUCACUUUCCCCAUACGACACUGGCACAGAACGAUGUGCGAAUUCGUAUUUGUCCAGUUCGAUUUCUUUCUGUGUUAUAUCAACAAAAACGAUCGACGAUUAAUUUUAUAUAUAAAACCGAAAAUCAUUUCGCUCAACUACUAUGUUUAAAUUAAAAUAUUUCAACUUUUGAAUCAGUAGGGCGCUCUUCUAUUUGGAAUUACAUAGGAAACUCGCAAAUACCGUAGAAAAUGGAUAUUCGACCAAAGAAAUAUAAAACUAUCGAUGAUCAAGUGGAGCGGCAUGAAUGAACGAUACGAGUCAGCUACUUUUGGGCGCUGCAUGGAUCUCGCCUAUGAAAUAACCAAGUGAAGUAAAUCGAGGUGAAGGGUCCCGCAAAGCGGGUAACGGUACAUUAUACUCAUCGGAAUUCAUGGUACGGUCCAUUCGUACUGCGACUGCACGUCCAUCCUGUUUGUCGGUACGAUUCCAGCGCGAGCUUUCAGAGUCCGGUUCUGAGAAACAUAAACGGGCCAGUGACGUAUCUUAGCACCGAUUCAACCGACUCCAAUAUGGGAAUAAGAAUGAUCCUUUUGAAGAUCUCGCUUUGUAUUGCGAUUGAGAUCGCACGGCACUACAUUUUCCGACGCUCUACCGCUACAGAAUCAUCUUUCUUCGUACAAUGAUGAGAGAUUUUUUCUUAAUGAACGUAUCCAGGAGUUGUAAUAUACGGGAGAAAAAGUCGAAACCGGAACUUUCGCUCGCUUAAUGACUGCUCCAGCUAAUUAAUCGUUGGUAUUUUGCACCAACACACGGUGCAAAGAAGAUUAAUUCCAGAAGUUUAUUUCAUAACAAACGAAACAGAAUGAACGUAUAACGAUUCCAAGCGUUGGAUGAAGCGAGCUGGGGAACGCAUUAACAACGUUUCCGCCUUGUUACGAUGCGGUCGACGCAAAUGAUAUAACUUUAUGAUACCUUUUGAAAGAAUUUCUCGCCUAUACUUCCUGCGGAGCACUGUUACAAGUUGAUCUAUACACCUGCUCGAAACCGGCUCGUGGGCAGGUCUAGUGAACUCGAUCGGAUUCCGAGACCGGAUUCCGCGAAAUGACCGCCGCUGCUCCGAUUUGUUUUUUCACGCUAAAAUAAGUUCUUCUAGAUUAUCUUCUUCUUCAUUUAUCUCUUUUUUUUUCUCGCACGACUUUAAAAAAAAAAAAAAAAUCAAA